GACGAACGCUGGCGGCGUGCUUAACACAUGCAAGUCGAGCGGUAAGGCCCUUUCGGGGGUACACGAGCGGCGAACGGGUGAGUAACACGUGGGUGACCUGCCCUUAGCUCUGGGAUAAGCCUGGGAAACUGGGUCUAAUACCGGAUAUGACUCCAUGACGCAUGUUGUGGGGUGGAAAGCCUUGUGCGGCUAGGGAUGGGCCCGCGGCCUAUCAGCUUGUUGGUGGGGUGAUGGCCUACCAAGGCGACGACGGUAGCCGGCCUGAGAGGGCGACCGGCCACACUGGGACUGAGACACGGCCCAGACUCCUACGGGAGGCAGCAGUGGGGAAUCUUGCGCAAUGGGCGAAAGCCUGACGCAGCGACGCCGCGUGGGGAUGACGGCCUGG
rnacentral:rRNA from 1 species